rnacentral:rRNA from 1 species
UAUCGGUGCAGGAUGGACCCGCGUCUGAUUAGCUGGUUGGCGGGGUAACGGCCCACCAAGGCGACGAUCAGUAGCCGGCCUGAGAGGGUGAACGGCCACAUUGGGACUGAGACACGGCCCAAACUCCUACGGGAGGCAGCAGUGGGGGAUAUUGGUCAAUGGGGGAAACCCUGAACCAGCAAUGCCGCGUGAGGGAAGAAGGUCUUCGGAUUGUAAACCUAAGUAGUCAGGGACGAAAGGAAUGACGGUACCUGAAGAGUAAGCUCCGGCUAACUACGUGCCAGCAGCCGCGGUAAUACGUAGGAUGCAAGCGUUAUCCGGAUUUACUGGGUGUAAAGGGAGCGCAGGCGGGACUUCAAGUUGGAUGUGAAAUACCGGGGCUCAACCCCGGAGCUGCAUCCAAAACUGUAGUUCUUGAGUGGAGUAGAGGCAAGCGGAAUUCCGAGUGUAGCGGUGAAAUGCGUAGAUAUUCGGAGGAACACCAGUGGCGAAGGCGGCUUGCUGGGCUCUAACUGACGCUGAGGCUCGAAAGUGUGGGGAGCAAACAGGAUUAGAUACCCUGGUAGUCCAUGCCGUAAACGAUGAGUGCUAAGUGUUGGGAGGUUUCCGCCUCUCAGUGCUGCAGCUAACGCAU